UCAGCACCUGCCUGAACUAAUGAUUCUAAACAAGCUAAUGAACCAGCAGCAACAGCUGACAAUAGUGGAGUUAUAUUAUCUUCCGUUUCACUAUUAGGGUUAGCAUGGUGCUCUAACAAAAUUUUCAAAGCAUCAGGCUGAGCAUGUCCGGCAGCCCAGAUUAGAGGAGUGCCAGCAUCACUUUCAGAAUCAACCUCAACACCCUUGGAAAGUAAAUACCUCAGCAACUCAAUAUUUCCUAUCCCUGCAGAAUGAUGCAAAGCUGUGGCCCCUAAAUCACUUGGCAUGGAAGGAUUGGCACCAUGCUCAAUAAGGUAUUUAGCAGUAGCAGUAUGUCCUUGCCGAGCAGCAUGAAGAAGAGGAGUCUCAGCAUCUUCAUCCUUCGUAUCCACAUCAAGCUUCAAGUCCUCAACUAAGAACUUGCAUACUUCAGUCUGUCCCUCCCUCGCCGCAAAAUGAAGAGCCCCUCGUUUGUUAGCAUCCUUUAUAUCCGCCACAGUUUUUGCCAUUCCUUUCCCAUCAUCGAGCUGCGCUGCUACAUUCCUCAGAAGAUCCAGAUUCCCAGUUCUUGCAGCAUUGAGGAACAACUGAACUUUCUGCCUCACUGCAAGAGCAUCAGAAGCAUCGGGGGCCAUGUAUCUACGGAGAAACUAGCAACUGAAACCCUAAUAACAAAUUGCAGGUUUUAGCACAAAAGGGCAGAUUAACGUCACCCAGAGACAGAGGCGCCACACAACAAAUGGAACUUUGGAAGUAUAGGGAAUAGACAGAAGAAGACCCAGGAGGGUUUAUUAGCUUAGCUCAGUUUGCUUUGCUCUUUC
rnacentral:misc_RNA from 1 species